UUCCUGUCCGGCUAGGAAGAUGGCGUCCCGCAAGGAAGGCACUGGUUCUGCUGCCACCUCUUCCAGCUCCACCACCGGCGCUGCUGGGAAAGGCAAAGGCAAAGGAGGGUCUGGAGAUUCGGCGGUGAAGCAAGUGCAGAUAGAUGGCUUGGUGGUCUUGAAGAUUAUCAAACAUUACCAAGAAGAAGGACAAGGAACUGAGGUGGUUCAAGGAGUGCUUUUGGGCCUUGUUGUAGAAGAUCGACUUGAAAUUACCAACUGCUUUCCUUUUCCCCAGCACACAGAAGAUGAUGCUGACUUUGAUGAAGGUAAGGGUACUCAUCUUUACUGUGUCUUUGCAGUGCACGCAGGUGAUUAUUAAUCCACUUCUCACCAUAACCUUUGAUAAUCUGUUUUUGGGAGUCUGUCAGUUUGGCCUAGUUCUAGUUUUUUAAAAACAACAACAAAACAAACAAAUUCUCUGAAAUGAGGAUUUAUUAUCGAAUAUUUCAUUAGUUUGACUAAUUCCAGUUAGUUGGAAUUUGUGAUUCUGAUUGUAAUAAAUUAGGAGCUGUGCUGAUAUUAAUUUUUCCACUGUGAAAUCAGCUUGCCAGAUAUAUUGUGAAGGACACAGAUAGUCAAUAUAUCCAACACCCAUUUUCUUCUAUAGUAUUUUGACUUGCUGUUUAAACAGAGAUGAGUUGAGCUAUCUACUUUAGAAAGAAAACACUCCUUAAGCUUUUCAGGAUCAUUUUAUUCUGUGUUAUAGGAAUAUUGCUUUGUUAGCAAAGGCUAAUACUAAUUAAAAGCUCAUCCCAAAGGAUUUAAAAAGAAAAUCUGGUUGAAAAUAAUUUCUGGCGUUCUCGUCAUGGCUCAAUGGAAACAAAUCUGACUAGUAUCCAUGAGGACGCAGGUUCGAUCCUUGGCCUUGCUCAGUGGGUUAAGGAUCUGGUGUUUCUGUGAGCUGUGGUGUAGGUCGCAGAAGUGGCUUGGUUCCCGCCUUGCUGUGGCUGUGGUGUAGGCCAGCGGCUAUAGCUCUGAUUGGACCCCUACCCUGGGAACCUCCAUAUGCCAUGGGUGUGGCCCUAAAAAGACAAAAAAGAAAAAAAAGAAAAUAAUUUUUCACUUGUCUGAAUUCUCAGAACUCAUUCUGUAUAUUUAUUUUUUAUGGUAAGUAAAACAUGGUAACAUAAAAUUUAUCAUCUUAAUUCUUUUUAAGUGUACAGUAGUGUUAAACUUUAUGCCUGUUGUUGUGCAUCAGAACAUUAAAACUCUGGUUUUGCAAAAACUGAAACUGUAUCCAUUGACCAGCUCCUUUCCUUUCCACCUCCCUAGCCUCUGGCAGCUACCAUUCUACUUUCUGAGAGUUUGAUUACUUUAGAUACCUUGUAUAAGUGGAAUCAUGCAAUGUUUGUUUUUCUGUGACUGACUUAUUUCACUAAGCUUUAAUGCCCUCAAGGUUCAUUCAUGUUGUAGCAUAUAGCAGGAUUUCCUUUUUUAAGGCUGUGUAAUAUUCCUCUGUAUGUAUAUACUAUAUUUUUUCCAUUCAUUCAUUGUUGGAUAUUUAGAUUAUUUUUUACCUCUUGGUUACUCUGAGUAAUGCUGCAGAUAUUUCUGUAAGAUCUUGUUUUCAGUUCUCUUGGACACAUAAUCUCAUCAGAAGUAAGAUUUGCCAGAUCAUAUUAUAAUUUUAUAUUUCAUUUUUUGAAGAACUUUCAUAUUUUCAACAGUCACUCCACCAGUUUACAUUCCUAUCAGCAAUGCACAAGGGUUCCUUUCUCUCUAUUCUUGCCAACAUUUGUUAUUUGUUUUAUCGAUGAUAACCGUUCUGACAGGUGUGAGGUCAUUUCUCAUUAUAAUUUUCAUUUGUAUUUCUCUGAUGAUUAAUGAUGUUGAACAUUUCUUUAUGUGCUUGUUGGCCAUUUUUAUGUUUUCUUUAGAAGGAGAAAUGUCUGUUCAAGUCUUUCAGUCAUUUUUUAUAAUUUUCUUUUUGGUGGAAGGAGUGCUUUUAUAUAUUCUGGAUAUUAUUAACUCCUUAUCCUAUAUAUGGCUUGCAAAUAUUUUAUUCCCGUCCAUAGGUUACCUUUUCACUCUUGAUUGUUUCUUUGUUGUGCAGAAGCUUCUUAGUUUAAUACAGUUCAACUUGUCUAUUUUUGCUUUUGUUGCUUGUACUUUUGGUAUAAUAUCCAAGAAAACAUUGUGAAGACCAGUGUUGUGAAGUUUCUUUCCUGUAUUUUUUUAAGAGGAAUUUUAUGCCAGUACCAUACCCUUGAUUAUUGUUGCUUUAUAAUAUGUUUUGGAAUCAAGAAGUGUGAGGUCUCUAACUUUGUUUUUCUUUUCAAGAUUAUUUUGGCUAUUUAGGGGCAUUUGGGAUUCCAUAUGAAUUUUAGUUUUUUUUUUUCCUAUUUCUGCAAAAAAAAUGCCAUUGGGAUUUUGAUAGGGACUGCUUUGACUCUCUAGAUCACAUUGGAUAGUAUGGACAUUUUAACAAUAUUAAAUCUUCUGAUCCAUGAACAUGGGAUAGAUGUCUUUCCACUUCUGUUGUAUUUACUUUCUUUCAGCAGUGUUUUAAAGUUUUCAGGGUACAAGUGUUUCGCCACAUUGGUUAAAUUUUUUUGUAAGUAUUUUAUUCUUUUUGAUGCUAUUAUAGAUUGUUUUUAAAUUUCCUUUUUAUCAUUCACUUUUUAUAUAAUUUUUAAUUGAUCACUUUUAACUUUGAUAAACGUUUAUCUCAUUUGACUUCACAUCCUCAUAGUACCUUGGACAUAAAAUAACACAAAGUACAUUUCUUAUUAAGCUUUGUAUUUUGAUAUUGCAGUUUGGUCUACAAAUAUUUUUUUCAUUAAAGCCAUACUUCUAGAAACUAACCAAGGCUAUUUUAUCCUAGGCAUCUAAGUAUAUGCAUUUUUAAAAAACUUUUGUGCAGUAUGCAGUGUAUUUUAUUUUAAACCAGCCAGGAUCUCCCUAUUUUGUCUGAACUUCUAUAGUAUUAAUAUUAAAUAUGUGUACACAGGAUUAAGCUUGGAAUUCCUCUUCUUUCCAUUCUGAUAGUAUUAGGAUAUCUCUGUUCCCAUAUUCAGCAGUACAUUUAGAGAUGCUCACUUAUAAUUCAGUGAUAACUAUUUUCAAUCUGGAAGACUAGAGCAGUCCAGGGAUUGUUAGCCCAGUUUCUUUGAUUUUGUUUGAGGUGACUUAUUUCAGUUUCCUGGUUAGUGGCACGGUUAUUUAGUACAGUCCAUUUCUGAACAGUUUACCUUGUCAUGCAGUCUUCUCAGGUAAUUAAUUUUGUUUUAUAAAACUCAAUAUAAAGUAUGAACAAGAAAUAAUGUUUAGUGCAGUUGUGAUAGGUGAACAAAGCAAAAUGUCUUUUUAGAUCUUGAUCAUUGGAAGCCAGCUUAUCUUAUGGAAUAGAGGUAAUUGACCUGUAUGCUGUUUCAUUAACAUGUGAUUUCAGAAGUUCAUUAAAACAUGUUUUUGUAACACUAAGAAGAGAUUGCUGUUUAGCAUUAAAUAAUAAUAAAAUUGCAGUGUAUUAUGUGCUGUGUAUUAUAUGCACAUUGCUUAUAAUCACUUAGUCUGCAUAGUUGAAGGUUUUAUCAGUCCCAUUUUCCAGAUUAGGAAACUAAUGCUAAUUUAUCUAAAAUCAUUUAACUGGGAAUUGGUAGAAUAAGGAUUGAGAUCUGUGUGUGCCUGGUCCUAAAUCUCAUGAUUUUCUCACUAAGAAGCAUUGAUUUUAGAAAGUGGAAGCCAGUGAUUAAAGGGUGUUGUAUAACGUCAUUAUUCUAUAUCUUAAAUUUACUUUUUGAGAAAAACAACUCAAUUUGUUUUUCUUGGUUUGCCUUUAGACACUAGUAGGAUCUGCCAUUUUUCUUACAUGUGAAAAAUCUAAGACAAUGCUCUGUAUUUCUUCAUAGCCUCCUCUACUAGUCCUGAAUUUUAGAUUCUCUUACCUAAUCCAUUUGUCUUUUUUUUUUUUUUUUUUCUUUUUGCCUUUUCUGGGGCUGCUUUCAUGGCAUAUGGAGGUUCCCAGGCUAGGUGUCUAAUCGGAGCUGUAGCUGCCAGCCUACGCCAGAGCCACAGCAACACGGGAUCCGAGCUGCGGCUGCAACCUACACUAAAGCUCAUGGCAAUGCCGGAUCCUUAGCCCACUGAGCAAGGUCAGGGGUCGAACCCACAGCCUCAUGGUUCCUAGUCGGAACCUUAAGCUACGUCGGAAACUCCACCUAAUCCAUUUAUCUAUCUUGAUGGAAAUUAGUAUGCAGUCACCAUUAGAUUUUUAUCAGAUUUGAUAAAAGCUAAAUUUUCCUGUUAUAGCCCUGCAUAUUGAUUAUUUUAUUUUAAAUCAUGCUAAAAACCUAUUGUUUUGCUUAUUGCUUUUCUUUUAUUAUAUGCUUGCUAAAACUAAUAUUUAUUCAGGGAUGGAUCUUUUCCUCUGCUUUUCAUCCUGUGGAAUAAAAUACUCACCAAACGUAAUUUUUUAGUGAUUACAUGUAUUAAGUUGUGUUAGGCUUUUUUUUUGUAUUUUUUGAUUGUUUGUUUGCUUGUUUGUUGUUUUUUUCUUUUUUGUGCCUCAUGUAGAGAUUUCUAAUCUGCGGUCAAAAAAUGAGAUGUUUUAAAUUAAGGCUUAGCAAACCAUGAUCUGUGGGCCCACUUCUGCAUGUAAAGUUUUAUUGGAAUGCUGUCAUGCCAUUCACUUACGUAUUUUCUGUGGCUUUGUUCCUGCUACUUUGGGUUAGUUGAGUAGUUGUGACAGAGACCAUAUGGGCACUGAGGCUGAAUUUUUUCCUUUUUCUUGGCUGUGCCUGCUGCAUGCAAAAGUUCCUGGACCAGGGAUUGAGUUUGUGCUGUAACUGUAACCAGAGCCACAGCAAUGACAAAGUUGGGUCCUUAACCAGAUGAGCCAUCAGGGAACUCCAUUUUUUUUUUUUUCCCCCGAGCCUGACUUUUUUUUGCUGUCUGGUUUUUUAAGAAAGUUUGACCACUUCAUCUGUGGCAUAUGGAGCUUCCCAGGCUAGGGGUCUAAUCGGAGCUGUAGCUGCUGCCCUAUGCCAGGGCCAUAGCAAUACAGGAUCUGAGCCCUGUCUGAGACCUGCACCAUAGCUCACAGAAACGACGGAUCCUUAACCCACUGAGUGAGGCCAGGGAUAGAACCCGUGUCCUCAUGGAUGCUAGUUGGGUUCAUUAACCACUGAGCCAUGACAGGAACUCCUCACUUCUUUGUUAUAUAUAACUUGUUAUUUUCCUGCUCUCAUAAAAUUAAAGAGAAUUCUUUCUUUUCAUCAUCAGUUGAUGACCUUUUGUUUAUUUAUUUCUUCUAGAUAUUGGCCUUAACAUUGACUCUUGGUCCAGGAUGUAUUGUGGGCACUGUAAUGAAAAUGUUGGUAUUAAUUGGGUGUUUGUUUCACUGGUAAACCUGGAAGGUAUCAGAAUGGUAAUCUUUGCUUUAAUUUUAAUGCAUUUUUCCAUUUUUUAAAAACGUGUAUAUUGAAUUAUUGAUGUUUAGGGGAACUGUGUACAGAUAAUAGAGAAGAAAGGCUUUCAAGUAAUGGUUGUAGACUUGUGACCAGGUAUUGUAGAAAGAUGGUAGGAGGCCACAAAAUUAGUGGAAAUCUCAGCUGUAUACUUAAGGAUCUCUCUGAUGCUGAAUAACUCACUUCUGAACCAAUUUUUACCUGAUUCUCUCAUAUCUUUCAUUUAGCAUAUAUUAAUUGUUCAUUUUCUAAAUACUAGGAACAUAGCUGAAGGAAAAUUUCCUUAUGAUUAACUUUUUGGGUAACGCUACUGUGGUCGUUAGAAUAUGAUGAUUCAAAAAACAAGAAACCGUGUGGCAUGGAGUUUCUCUUCCUUGAAUUCACACUUUGUUUUUGCAUAUGUGAUAACUCUCUUUUGAUUUGUUUAAAUUUUGAUACACUUUUAUGUUAGAGAGUUUACUUUCUAGAGAGGUAAUGUGCUCAUAUUAGGGAAUAUAUGAUUAAAAAAAUUAAAUCAAAAAACUCAUAUUAAAAUUCCCAUUAGGGGGCACUAUUAUCAAGCUUAGGAGAACUGGAGGCUAAUUUGUUUUCUCAGACAUGCAACCCGAGGUUUGCUAAAAGGGAGAAAUAUUUUCAUCUGAUAAGAUUCAGAUACUGCUUUAUACAGCUGAAUUCCUUAACUAUGUUAUAAGGUACACUGAAUUAAACACAGAUCCAAUAAUUCACUGUUUUGUUUUCAGCAGACUAAAUCAGUAUAAUAUUAUAGGUGAUAUAAGAAGCUUACUUUAUUUUGAAUCAGAGCCAAAUCCAUAAUUUUCAUAUUUGGAGUAGACAAAUUUUUGUUUUGCCCCUUUAAGUCAGUCACAAAGGAUGAUCCUUGGCCUUCAAAUAAGUUUCUUUCAGAAAUGAAGCAUGAAGACUAUUGUGCUGCUAAAAUGCAGUUAGGGGAGUGAAGUGAUGCCUGAGACAGUUCUGACGUGUGCAGCAUGGGUAAUUACUGAAGUCAUUCCACAAUUUGCAGUGAUUGGUACAUACACAUAGCUUUUUACUUAUCUGUUUAUUUUUAGCUACUUGAAAAUUACCUUCUUUUUUUAUUCCUCAGGUUUGGUAUUAGAGCAAGAAACACUACUAUAGACUCUCUUAUACAUGGUCAUUUUAUCAAGCUUCUGAAAGAUAAGCAGCAGUAUAGUCUUAGACUUUCCAAAGGCUAAACUAUGAAUUGGCAAAAAUGUAAUUAAAGUAAAACAUAGUCACAGUAAUUUUUCACAGCAUAGGUGUUAUUUUUGUAUCAGUGAGUUUGGAGAGAGUGGGUUUGUAUAGUUACAUUAUUUGCAAUACUUCCUCCCUAAGAAAAGAAAGUCUCUGCUUAAUUAUUUUCUUGUUCCCUGAAAUCUCACCUUCCUUCUCCUUAGUUUGCUGGCAGCUCACACUCAGGGCAAAACUGCCUGAAAACUAGCCGAUGAUUACUAUUUUGCUUUUGUAUUGCUUUUAAGUUCAGGGAAGAAUUGAGUCCAAAGAGAGAAAGCUUUUCAUAUUUUUUUCAGGCAGAUGGGGACAUUCUGUGAAAAGACAUGAUGUUUACUUAUUUCGUAUUAUCUUCUGUUGUACACAGUGAUCACUCUGAUCUCUUUGUCAGAUUCGUUUUUUAAAAAAUUCUAUUUUGUUACUGUCUUUCUUUUUCAAAGAGCGUUUUUUCUUGGUAGAAACACUGGAAGUAUAUAUAGGCAGUUUUGGAGUGUGUUUUGAAACUUAUUGGAGAAAUAGGAUCAUGUUUAUUAUGUGACCUCAUCAUUAAGUAGAGAUAUGAUAAAAUGUUUCAGAUAUCUCAGGAAAGAAAAUUCUUUUUCAGAUUUUAUUCAGCAAAUUACAUUGAGUGGAUUGUGAAAAAGAAAUUUGAGGGGAGUUCCCGUCGUGGCGCAGUGGUUAGUUAACGAAUCCGACUAGGAACCAUGAGGUUGCGGGUUCGGUCCCUGCCCUUGCUCAGUGGGUUAAGGAUCGGGCGUUGCCGUGAGCUGUGGUGUAGGUUGCAGACGCGGCUCGGAUCCUGCAUUGCUGUGGCUCUGGCGUAGGCCAGUGGCUACAGCUCCGAUUCGACCCCUAGCCUGGGAACCUCCAUAUGCCGCUGGAGCGGCCCAAGAAAUAGCAAAGAAAAAAAAAAAAA
rnacentral:lncRNA from 1 species